UCGGGCAAGACAUCUGCUUGUAACCUGCAAGCAGCUUAAUUCUGUAGCCGCCUUCUUGUGACCACGGAUGUACUGGCACAGGAGUGGCUAAGAGUUUUGAAGGCUGAGCGAUUGCUCAGCCUUUUUUAUU
rnacentral:sRNA from 1 species